UGAGAAGAUCCCUUCACCUUCUGAGUUCAGCUCCCCUCUGUAAAGUGAGGGAAUUUAGCUAUGUGCCCUCCCAGGGCUAACAUACAAUGUGACACAAUGAUCUAUAAACAACAGAGUUAAAAAAGAAAAGAAAGCCAGAGGGUGAAAAAUUUCUUGCGUGUGGGGGGAGGGGAGAGGAGAGGGGAGACACAGAAACAUGGUUCCUGUAGCUAAAGAUUCACAGAUCACACUUGUCUUAACCUGAUGUGACAUUGCACCCUGCUGGCCAUCUGUCCAUGGUCCUUGUGUGACUACUUGCUCCCUCAUGCCUUCCUCAGUGCUCAGUGGUCACAAUACCCUUAGCUCAGAGUCAUCUCUCAAUGUCAGGAACAGGAAGUGUGCUGGGGGAAGGGGAGGGGUGAGUGUCGAGGAGUUUCAUAUCCUAGGGUUCCCAAUGCCCAGUGGAAGGGGCAACUGAAACUGGAGAAAAGCACAAAGCACAAGGAAGGUCAGAAACCCCCUGGCCCAGUGGCCGCACUCUAGUAGGUCCUGAGUUUUUAGGUGAAAGUUUCUAUUCAAGCUGAGACCUUUCCUGCAUCGCAGCACUUCCCAGUUUUUGAUCAUAACAAAAAGAGGCCUAGGAUGCCUGAGGGGAGGAGCAGGCCACAAGUAGGGAGAAACCUGUGUGCCUGCAUUGCAUAUGAACGGGAGCUUCUCACAACCUGCUUUUGACUGCUUCCUGAAUGAGAAAUGAACUUCAGUUGUGGAAAGGAUGGAGAGCAUGAAGAGAAAGCAGGAGAAAAAUGAGGAAAAAGGAAUAUUCCGGAUGGGGGACAAAGGACACAGCCCAGAGAGAGAGAGAGGACCAAGAAAGGAAAACGAACUCAACCCCAUGAACCAAAAAGAAAGAUGACGCGCAGAGUCAGAGGAACCCAGCAGCCUUGGAACAGCUCUACACCCUUCUUGAGAGCAAUUUGGCAACACAUAUCACAAGCCUUAAAAGGUGUAUAUACCUUACUCCUUAGACUCUACUUCUAAGAUUUGCCUUUAGGAAACAGUGCAGUGAGUGGGGCAUAGGCACUGGGAUGCUUAUUGUAGAAUGUUUAUAUCAGUGGAGAAUGGGAAAUGAGCUGAAGAUCAGUCAAAACAGGUGACCUAAAUUCUGUAGAUCUCUUCUUUAGUUUGUGGUCAUUAAAACUUCGUCUGUGAAAAAACACUUAAAUGAUGUGUUCUGUGGCUGAGGGUAAAACGUUUGGUUUAACAGGGUGAUGGCAACAUUUCUUGCUUUCCUUUUUUUUCUUUUUUCUUUUUUUUUUUUUUUAAUGUU